rnacentral:rRNA from 1 species
ACGGAAGGCAGCAGUAGGGAAUCUUCCACAAUGGGCGAAAGCCUGAUGGGGCAACGCCGCGUGUGUGAUGAAGGGUUUCGGCUCGUAGAACACUGUUGUAAGAGAAGAAUGACAUUGAGAGUAACUGUUCAAUGUGUGACGGUAUCUUACCAGAAAGGAACGGCUAAAUACGUGCCAGCAGCCGCGGUAAUACGUAUGUUCCAAGCGUUAUCCGGAUUUAUUGGGCGUAAAGCGAGCGCAGACGGUUAUUUAAGUCUGAAGUGAAAGCCCUCAGCUCAACUGAGGAAUUGCUUUGGAAGCUGGAUGACUUGAGUGCAGUAGAGGAAAGUGGAACUCCAUGUGUAGCGGUGAAAUGCGUAGAUAUAUGGAAGAACACCAGUGGCGAAGGCGGCUUUCUGGACUGUAACUGACGUUGAGGCUCGAAAGUGUGGGUAGCAAACAGGAUUAGAUACCCUGGUA